GAUGAACGCUAGCUACAGGCUUAACACAUGCAAGUCGCGGGGCAGCAUGGGGGUUGCUUGCAAUCCCCGAUGGCGACCGGCGCACGGGUGAGUAACGCGUAUCCAACCUGCCCUUCACCACGGGAUAACCCGGCGAAAGUCGGACUAAUACCGUAUGUUGUCCAUUGACGGCAUCCGAUUUGGACGAAAGGUUUGGCGGUGAAGGAUGGGGUUGCGUCCGAUUAGCUGGACGGCGGGGUGACGGCCCACCGUGGCGACGAUCGGUAGGGGUUCGGAGAGGAAGGCCCCCCACACUGGAACUGAGACACGGUCCAGACUCCUACGGGAGGCAGCAGUGAGGAAGAUUGGGCAAGGGGCGUAAGCCUGAACCAGCCAAGUAGCGUGCAGGAGGACGGCGCUAGGGGUUGUAAACUGCUGUUAUGCGGGGAUAAAGUGGUCCACGUGUGGGUUUUUGACGGUACCGCAUGAAUAAGGACCGGCUAAUUCCGUG
rnacentral:rRNA from 1 species